AUUGAACGCUGGCGGCAUGCUUUACACAUGCAAGUCAAACGGCAGCACGGGUGCUUGCACCUGGUGGCGAGUGGCGAACGGGUGAGUAAUGUAUCGGAACGUACCCGGCAAUGGGGGAUAACGUAGCAAAAGUUACGCUAAUACCGCAUAUGCCCUGAGGGGGAAAGUGGGGGAUCGCAAGACCUCACGUUGUCGGAGCGGCCGAUAUCAGAUUAGCUAGUUGGUGGGGUAAAGGCCUAACAAGGCGACGAUCUGUAGCUGGUCUGAGAGGACGACCAGGCACACGGGGACUGAGACACGGCCCAGACGCCUACGGGAGGCAGCAGUGGGGAAUUUUGGACGAUGGGGGCAACCCUGAUCCAGCCAUGCCGCGUGAGUGAAGAAGGCCUUCGGGUUGUAAAGCACUUUUGUCCGGAAAGAAAUGGCUCUGGUUAAUACCUGGGGUCGAUGACGGUACCGGAAGAAUAAGGACCGGCUAACUACGUGCCAGCAGCCGCAGUAA
rnacentral:rRNA from 1 species